UACGUAGGGUGCGAGCGUUAAUCGGAAUUACUGGGCGUAAAGCGUGCGCAGGCGGCUUUGCAAGACAGAUGUGAAAUCCCCGGGCUUAACCUGGGAACUGCAUUUGUGACUGCAUAGCUAGAGUACGGUAGAGGGGGAUGGAAUUCCGCGUGUAGCAGUGAAAUGCGUAGAUAUGCGGAGGAACACCGAUGGCGAAGGCAAUCCCCUGGACCUGUACUGACGCUCAUGCACGAAAGCGUGGGGAGCAAACAGG
rnacentral:rRNA from 1 species